GAAAGCAUCCAGCCCCUCGCCCCCUGGCCAGCUAGGGGAGGGCUCUCACACGGCCCAUGACAGCUCCUCGUGGCCACCGCUGGCUGCAGGUUCGGAAGCCAUGUGUGCACAGAGAUGAGAAGCAGAGGUCUGGAGAGAGGCUGCCUUCACCCACCAGGGCUCCUAGGCUGGGAUCCCCGAAUUCUUUCCCUGAUUCUGCCCAAGUAUCUGUGUAGUGAUGACCUUCUAACGAUAACUUCUCUCUGGGCCUAAUAUCCAUCAAGGG